GACGAACGCUGGCGGCGUGCUUAACACAUGCAAGUCGAACGAAGAGCGAUGGACGCUUGCUUCUCUCAAUCUUAGUGGCGAACGGGUGAGUAACGCGUAAUCAACCUGCCCUUCAGAGGGGGACAACAGUUGGAAACGACUGCUAAUACCGCAUACGAUCUAAUCUCGGCAUCGAGGAUAGAUGAAAGGUGGCCUCUACAUGUAAGCUAUCACUGAAGGAGGGGAUUGCGUCUGAUUAGCUAGUUGGAGGGGUAACGGCCCACCAAGGCGAUGAUCAGUAGCCGGUCUGAGAGGAUGAACGGCCACAUUGGGACUGAGACACGGCCCAGACUCCUACGGGAGGCAGCAGUGGGGAAUCUUACGCAAUGGACGAAAGUCUGACGGAGCAACGCCGCGUGAGCGAGGACGGCCUUCGGGUUGUAAAGCUCUGUUAAUCGGGACGAAAGGCCUUCUUGCGAAUAGUGAGAAGGAUUGACGGUACCGGAAUAGAAAGCCACGGCUAACUACGUG
rnacentral:rRNA from 1 species